rnacentral:rRNA from 1 species
GAUGAACGCUGGCGGCGUGCCUAAUACAUGCAAGUCGAGCGAACGGACGAGAAGCUUGCUUCUCUGAUGUUAGCGGCGGACGGGAGAGUAACACGUGGAUAACCUACCUAUAAGACUGGGAUAACUUCGGGAAACCGGAGCUAAUACCGGAUAAUAUUUUGAACCGCAUGGUUCAAAAGUGAAAGACGGUCUUGCUGUCACUUAUAGAUGGAUCCGCGCUGCAUUAGCUAGUUGGUAAGGUAACGGCUUACCAAGGCAACGAUGCAUAGCCGACCUGAGAGGGUGAUCGGCCACACUGGAACGGAGACACGGUCCAGACGCCUACGGGAGGCAGCAGUAGGGAAUCUUCCGCAAUGGGCGAAAGCCUGACGGAGCAACGCCGCGUGAGUGAUGAAGGUCGUCGGAUCGUAAAACUCUGUUAUUAGGGAAGAACAUAUUUGUAAGUAACUGUGCACAUCUUGACGGUACCUAAUCAGAAAGCCACGGCUAACUACGUG